AUCAUUACAGUAUUCUUUUUGCCAGCGCUUAAUUGCGCGGCGAAAAAACCUUACACACAGUGUUUUUUGUUAUUACAAGAACUUUUGCUUUGGUCUGGACUAGAAAUAGUUUGGGCCAGAGGUUUACUGAACUAAACUUCAAUAUUUAUAUUGAAUUGUUAUUUAUUUAAUUGUCAAUUUGUUGAUUAAAUUCAAAAAAUCUUCAAAACUUUCAACAACGGAUCUCUUGGUUCUCGCAUCGAUGAAGAACGCAGCGAAAUGCGAUAAGUAAUAUGAAUUGCAGAUUUUCGUGAAUCAUCGAAUCUUUAAACGCACAUUGCGCCCUCUGGUAUUCCAGAGGGCAUGCCUGUUUGAGCGUCAUUUCUCUCUCAAACCUUCGGGUUUGGUAUUGAGUGAUACUCUUAGUUGAACUAUGCGUUUGCUUGAAAUGUAUUGGCAUGAGUGGUACUGGAUAGUGCUAUAUGACUUUCAAUGUAUUAGGUUUAUCCAACUCGUUGAAUAGUUUAAUGGUAUAUUUCUCGGUAUUCUAGGCUCGGCCUUACAAUAUAACAAACAAGUUUGACCUCAAAUCAGGUAGGACUACCCGCUGAACUUAAGCAUAUCA
rnacentral:sRNA from 1 species